GACGUAGGGCGCGAGCGUUUGUCCGGAUUUAUUGGGCGUAAAGAGCUCGUAGGCGGCUUGUCGCGUCGUCCGUGAAAACUCGGGGCUCAACUCCGAGCUUGCAGUCGAUACGGGCAGGCUAGAGUUCGGCAGGGGGAGACUGGAAUUCCUGGUGUAGCGGUGAAAUGCGCAGAUAUCGGGAGGAACACCGGUGGCGAAGGCGGUUCUCUGGGCCUGUACUGACGCUGAGGAGCGAAAGCGUGGGGAGCGAACAGG
rnacentral:rRNA from 1 species